rnacentral:lncRNA from 1 species
UCAAAGGGCAGGCUGCACUUUUGGCUGGUGGCCAAGGUUCUGGAGGCAGCCGGUGAGGACCAGGCAUGCAGUGCGAACCGCUCGGGGCACCGGACAGCAUCCACUUCCCGCGCACCCACGAAGAGGGCAAUAUAAGAACUGGGCACUCAGCACGAUUUGCAAUUCAUGGGAGUUCUGGAAUUUUGAAUUUCAGAGGUUCUAGAAUGCUGGAACUUGCACCUUGGUGGUGUUCUAGAACUCUCAGGGAUACUGGAUUUCUAGAACUACAAAAGGGUCCUGCGUGAGGGGACAGAUCUCGCGGACUUUAGAGUUUCUCUCUGCCACCACUUAACUUUGAAGCUCCGUGAUGAUGUUGUGGGGCCCUUGGGGCCGCUGAAAUGUCUGGGCAGCUGUCUGCUUGUCUCUCUCGGAUUCGGAGCUGACAGAAUUCAUAUCAGAAGAGUGAACGCAGGGACAUCUGUGUGCGGAAUGACUGUGCUGCUCGAACCUGCCAAUCGCUCCUGGCACGAGCUGGAAAACCUCUUGGCUGCCUCUCUUCAGGAGUAAAUUUGAAGAUCUAAGAAAUCACAGUCCUCCAUGUGUGCAAAGGAAGACCUAAAAGUGUUGAACCUAAGGGCAUAGCAAGAAGGUCUAGUUAUGCGUGAAGAAUUCCUGAACUGGGCCGGGUGCGGUGGCUCAUGCCUGUAAUCCCAGCACU